rnacentral:lncRNA from 1 species
UUGUGAAUGUCAUUAUGAGUGGUCUGAUUAUAUAUUAUUCUUGUUAUGUAGAUAAUUUUAUUAUGGCUUCUUCACUCUCAUUGUGAAGCAUCCUAGAUAAUAAUAAGUCGAUCGAUCCAAACUUUAUGGAUUGGAUGAGAAAGUUGUGCAUUAUUCUUACAUAAGAAAAGAUCUCAUGCAUUUUGGAUACUCUCAACCUUGAUUCUAUUAGGGAAGAUGCUAC